AUUGUUGUCUGUCCGCCAUGAUUGUCUGACCAAAACAACACGCUAUCUAUCUUAUCUACUGUCUCUCCGCUGAAAUCGUUUCACCUGUGUCCCUUUUUUCCUUCAUAUUCGAAGAUGCGGUAAUUUUGCCUUUAUGUUCGCACUAAAUGGAGGACAGCUAACCCGAUAUUCACAAAGUUACAACUUUAGUCAUAUUACAAACACCCUUUGUACAUACAGAGAUUUAUGACCUAAAUGCGAUACACCAUCACACCUUGGAUGCAGGAAUGUGGCUAAACAACCCACUUACUGGCAGUUAGCGUUCUGACACAGGACGCUGAUUUUAUAGUGAAGACGAACACAACCGAGGAUAUACACUAAGAAGGAACCAAACGAGCAGGACAGGAGGAGAAGGGUUCAGCAGCAGAUAAAGGAACUGAGGAAGUUCGAGAUGUACAAGUCGCACCUGUUCAAGGUUCGGAAGUACCAAUAAUCUUGUUGAUCAACGACGAGUACGGAACUUCCAAGGGGGGGAUUUCUACCAUCAACUGUCAGGUUGGUCAAACGAUAGGCGCGACUAACGCAGUCGUGUACGCGACAGCCCUGCGUGUGCCGAAACAAGACCAGGAGGCAGCAAACAGAGAUGGUGUCCAGCUGAUCAAACCCCGUCAAGCAGUAGGGGACAAGACAGAGCCAUCCUUGGACUGGCUGACCUUUCAAUAACGGACCUACUACCCGAAGGAGAACCUACCGCCACAUGUUGACGUCGUUAUUGGCCAUGCUCACGUCACAGAUACGGCGGCGCGAAACAUACUACGAACAGGCAGACCUGAUCACGAUCACCCACGUCUUACCUGAAGACACAGACUACUUCAGGGGGAGCCUGAGGGCUAUCAAAGCUUCGGAGAAAGAGAAAGAUAUGCUUGACAUCGUCGACAACGCAAAGGCAGCUUUCUCAGUGGGUCCGCGUAUCUACAAACACUUCAAGACCAAGUACAAGGGAAAGAAGAAACCAAGGGGCAGCAAGGGGCAUCAGCAUGGCCGCAAGAGAUCUGGACUCGCUCUCUGCGAUUGAUCACCCGCGGCAUCAGCGAGGACGGCUAUGAGGCAAGCCUGGAGAUCCUGAAAGCUAACAUGGGCAGCAGCAACCUGAUCCCCACCCUGCGGCCGUACGGCAUACAGGAGGACAUCUUGGAGGACAUGAUGGCAGCCCACCUGGUCCUGAUGCCUUCCCGCUCCGAGCCAUGUUUCCAUGUUUAUGGAAAUAAGGUUGUAAUUGCCAUACUCUAUUUCUAUUGAUGUCCUUUUCUCCCCAGAUAUAGAUUGCAUAUGAUGUUUGUGUGAAAAAGUUAUCCACAUUUGCGUAAUCUUUGGGUGGUGAUGUUCACCUUUAUCCAAUUUCCACAUGUAACAAGUAUGAAAUUUCCAUUAUUCGCACUAAACUUCUUUUAUCGCAUCAAUUAUGCAAAUCUGGCCAUGAAUUACAUGUUUUAUGUAUUGAAUGUCUUUUACUGAAAAUACUGGACUUAUACAAUUUACUCAUCAAUUAUGCAAAUCAAGUCCUAAUUUGCAUUUCAUGCAUGCAUCUGCCCAUGCUACCAAGCCACCUACCCACAUCAUGAAAAUCUGUUGUUCCUUUCUUCAGUUACAGUAUCCAGGACAAAAGAUAGGGGAAACGGAACUUCUGGUGCAGUACCAAGGAAAGCCGCCAGGAGGCCCAUAAUCGAGCCCUAUUAACAUACCAAAUAUCACCCUAAUUCCAUAGUCCCACUCCUGGUACUCAAGCCUCCCGCAAGUCAACCCUUGCCGAGUGAACACCAAUCAGUCUUCCCUAUCCUUAUACAUGUAAAUACUGGCAAAAAGAAGCUGUCAAAAGUCACCAACUUGAAGUUUCGUCCUUGAAAAACUAACAUUGACAGGGUAGUCCGGCCUCUAAAUUGUCCAUUUCCAACUUUUGGAAACAUUCUGACUGCUGUAACACACGUAAACUGCAGCCAAACGCACCCGGUGACCUUUGUCCCAUCUGGCAUUAGAAUGAUAGCUCCAAAACAAACUUCUUUCUAGUGUUCCAACGUUGGCCGUGUUCUCUUGUGCCGGGAAAGGGAGUUUGUCGAGGAAGGGAG